GUAGACGCUGAAGAGAGGAGCUUGCUCUUCUUGGAUGAGUUGCGAACGGGUGAGUAACGCGUAGGUAACCUGCCUUGUAGCGGGGGAUAACUAUUGGAAACGAUAGCUAAUACCGCAUAACAAUGGAUGACACAUGUCAUUUAUUUGAAAGGGGCAAUUGCUCCACUACAAGAUGGACCUGCGUUGUAUUAGCUAGUAGGUGAGGUAACGGCUCACCUAGGCGACGAUACAUAGCCGACCUGAGAGGGUGAUCGGCCACACUGGGACUGAGACACGGCCCAGACUCCUACGGGAGGCAGCAGUAGGGAAUCUUCGGCAAUGGGGGCAACCCUGACCGAGCAACGCCGCGUGAGUGAAGAAGGUUUUCGGAUCGUAAAGCUCUGUUGUAAGUCAAGAACGAGUGUGAGAGUGGAAAGUUCACACUGUGACGGUAGCUUACCAGAAAGGGACGGCUAACUACGUGCCAGCAGCCGCGGUAAUACGUAGGUCCCGAGCGUUGUCCGGAUUUAUUGGGCGUAAAGCGAGCGCAGGCGGUUUGAUAAGUCUGAAGUUAAAGGCUGUGGCUCAACCAUAGUUCGCUUUGGAAACUGUCAAACUUGAGUGCAGAAGGGGAGAGUGGAAUUCCAUGUGUAGCGGUGAAAUGCGUAGAUAUAUGGAGGAACACCGGUGGCGAAAGCGGCUCUCUGGUCUGUAACUGACGCUGAGGCUCGAAAGCGUGGGGAGCGAACAGGAUUAGAUACCCUGGUAGUCCACGCCGUAAACGAUGAGUGCUAGGUGUUGGAUCCUUUCCGGGAUUCAGUGCCGCAGCUAACGCAUUAAGCACUCCGCCUGGGGAGUACGACCGCAAGGUUGAAACUCAAAGGAAUUGACGGGGGCCCGCACAAGCGGUGGAGCAUGUGGUUUAAUUCGAAGCAACGCGAAGAACCUUACCAGGUCUUGACAUCCCGAUGCUAUUUCUAGAGAUAGAAAGUUACUUCGGUACAUCGGUGACAGGUGGUGCAUGGUUGUCGUCAGCUCGUGUCGUGAGAUGUUGGGUUAAGUCCCGCAACGAGCGCAACCCCUAUUGUUAGUUGCCAUCAUUCAGUUGGGCACUCUAGCGAGACUGCCGGUAAUAAACCGGAGGAAGGUGGGGAUGACGUCAAAUCAUCAUGCCCCUUAUGACCUGGGCUACACACGUGCUACAAUGGUUGGUACAACGAGUUGCGAGUCGGUGACGGCAAGCUAAUCUCUUAAAGCCAAUCUCAGUUCGGAUUGUAGGCUGCAACUCGCCUACAUGAAGUCGGAAUCGCUAGUAAUCGCGGAUCAGCACGCCGCGGUGAAUACGUUCCCGGGCCUUGUACACACCGCCCGUCACACCACGAGAGUUUGUAACACCCGAAGUCGGUGAGGUAACCUUUGGAGCCAGCCG
rnacentral:rRNA from 1 species